rnacentral:rRNA from 1 species
AUUGAACGCUGGCGGCAUGCUUUACACAUGCAAGUCGAACGGUAACAGGCCGCAAGGUGCUGACGAGUGGCGAACGGGUGAGUGAUGCAUCGGAACGUGCCCAGUCGUGGGGGAUAACGCAGCGAAAGCUGUGCUAAUACCGCAUACGAUCUAUGGAUGAAAGCGGGGGACCGUAAGGCCUCGCGCGAUUGGAGCGGCCGAUGUCAGAUUAGGUAGUUGGUGGGGUAAAGGCUCACCAAGCCAACGAUCUGUAGCUGGUCUGAGAGGACGAACAGCCAGACUGGGACGGAGACACGGCCCAGACUCCUACGGGAGGCAGCAGUGGGGAAUUUUGGACAAUGGGCGCAAGCCUGAUCCAGCAAUGCCGCGUGCAGGAAGAAGGCCUUCGGGUUGUAAACUGCUUUUGUACGUAACGAAACGGUCUGGGUUAAUACCCUGGGCUAAUGACGGUACCGUAAGAAUAAGCACCGGCUAACUACGUGCCAGCCGCCGCAGUAAGAC